AGGACAUUCACCUUCCGAAUGGAGAGACAGCUAACGAAAGCUCCAAUCAGCCGAACAGGAACCAUAUGAAAUCCUUCACGUAUCAAACAGCCGAACGAGUAAACCAUACUAAUCCAAUACCCCCAAGUACGAGACCAAGCUCCGUAUUGAGGGUUAAGCAGAGAUCUGAUUUAUUAAAGAGACACUAUAAGUCAACUGAACAACUUUAGCUUAAUGAAGCAGUUUUGGUGUAUAGAACAUGCCCCUGCAGCCUCACUGCUCAAUUCUCUGGAACCC